CUUUCUCUGGGCGCCUGCGCGCCUACCAUGACAAGCCAUUUCAGGCGAGCCGAGCCCCAGAGCCAUGUGUCUGGUGCGCAGUGUUAACAGGGCAGUUAUACCUUUUACAGACAACUGUGGCUCCAAGUCAAGUAUGAACUUACACAAACAGUUUAUAUAACAAGUGGAGGUGUGCGCCUGCGUGCCAAACUUGCUGACUCGUGCAGGCCUGGAUACCCGCCUCAGACUAUUCCUUGACCGAAGCACUUCCAGGGCAGGAAACUGAAGCUCUUGGGAAGGUGGAAGUUGCACGUGGUCUCACAGUCAACUGUGCCAGAAUAGGAGGCCAGGAACCAUCUCUGCUGGAGGAAGACCCACCACGCAUCCCUUCAAGAAUGCCAAGGUCCAGAGCAAGUGCUUCCCUUCUAUGGGCACAGGAGGGCUGUGGGAGCCCACAGAAUGUGCUUCUGGCCAGAGUGGGAUCCCCGAGGAAGAUGUUAAGACCUCUAAUAAUAUUUAAGAGCAAAAUUAGCACAGCUCCAGCCCAUGGGCAAGUUAAGAGACAGGAGUAGUGUCUGUGGAGUGGAGGAAAGCAGAGGCUGCCGCUGACCAUCCUGCAGCCCUCGCUCUGGCUGCUCACAGCUCUCCACCUUCUCUGGACUUCGUCACUUCAGUAUGUGAAACAACCAUUUCAACCAGCUUGGACAAAAGAGAGAAGCCAAGAUGGGGCUGAGAAACCAAUGCAGGCAGGCCCAGGGACCCAGGAGUCAGGGACCAGGUGCUACCAGAUGCUUGCUCCGACUCGUGUUGCUGCUGUCUUCUCUGUGCCUCAACUCUGUCCUCUGUCACUGCAGGCAGCUUCCUCCCAAGGUGCCAUGAGAAGACAUGCCUUGCUUCUCCUCUUCACCUUCUGCCAUGAUUGUAAGUUUCCUGAGGCUUCCCCAGCUAUGCAGAACUGUGAGUCGAUUAAACCUCUUUUCUUCAUAAAUU
rnacentral:lncRNA from 1 species